ensembl:lncRNA
UGUGAACCAUAUCUGCAUUUGUGAUGAGUACAGGAUAUUCCUGUUAGGUGAUUAUCAGUUCCUAUGCGAGACAGAUGGUGUAAAUAGUAUGUAGACGUUACUUGAUGAAAAGUAAUUAACCAAUUAUUUUUGUUUCAAAACAUUAACGUCAUGUUUUUUUGUUUUUGAUCUCCUGUGUAUUUCCAAACUUUAAAACAACAUAAGGUUUGUAUGGCAUCUUUUAACACAUUAUUUAAUCAAGCAAAAAUGUUAGUUUGCAAAAACUGUCCAGUUUGUCAUUAAUAUCCUAUUUCUCAGUCAGAUUGCAGAUAAAUGAAAUGCCAUUGCAUUAAUUUACAAAUAUUCAUCAGUAUACAGCCUCUGCUUCCCUGGUGAUAAUGUGAGUCCUCUGUGAGGAGCAGUAUUAAAGUGACAGAAUCGUGAUAUGCUCUCAGCCCGAGCCAUCACAAAGCUUCUUCCACCACACCGGGCAAAUUACUCGCCGCUUCAUUUCCUGACUCUGACCAGCUCGUGGACGAGAUCAAUCUUCAUGCAAAGUUUCCCUGUACUGAUCCUGUAAAUGACAGCCAUUAUUCAGAUUUACAUUUUAUCUCCUUCUAAAAUAAUGACAAUAAAUCAUCGGGGGCGUUGCGGCUGUCGAUAAUUACAGAGUGAACGGCCAGAGAGGAGUUUGUCUUGGAAAGUCCUGCAAUCCUCUAACAGCUGAAUGAGGAGGAAAGGAUGACAGUGAAAAAUGAGUCUGCUUUCCAAACAUAAAUGAGCAAACUGAGGAUGCAUCAUAAAUAAGUGAUUUCUUUUUGCUCGUGCACUAAUGUUGCCUCUGUGUCUUCACUACAUAAUGUGUGCAUGGUUUGAGUCAUUCAGAGGCCCUGCUCCUGUUUUCAGUAUCUACCUGUGUACCUGGUACUGUGGCAGAUGAAGUUAGAAAUAAUAACUAGUGCUCAGGUUUGUCCAUAAUUUAGCCUUCAUUCAUUUCUAUGGAGCCAUUUGUGGUGACAUAACUGAAAUAAUAAAUGGCAUUCACAAGCCAUUAUUUUUCCAAGACAGUGUCUGCACGUGUGUCCCUUUGCAUACCCUUGAGAAUCGCUCAUCUGAUCUUCUUCACCGUCAAAAAGCGUAUUGUUGGGCGCCAAAAGACUCUGGCCGGCACUAUUGAAAAAUCUUUGAGGAACAAGUGAUGGCACUCUGUGCGCCGGCAGGGGCGAGUCUACGGUGCUCUGUGGCUCAUUGACUGUGGCUCAUUGACUGCGGUUCAUUUUUGCGGCUGGAUGCUGAUGUUACAAACUGGCCAACAGGACAAAAAGAUCCUUAAUAUCUGCUUUUGAAACUGAGCAUUCAGUCCACAGAAUCUCCAUUUUGAAGAUACCAUUGUUGCCAUUACAACCAUAACUAGUAAAGAAAUAUUUUGCAACUCUCGACAAGUGUGUAAAAACUACCGAAACUAUCAGGAAUAAAACAUCAUAUUGUGCCUGUAUUUGAUUUAUUUUUCUUUCUUCUCCAUGUCUGUGAUAGCAAAAAGAUAUGGCCUUUGCAUCUUCCUUUAGCUGGAUUAAGGUAAGAACAUCAGGCAUUCAUCCGACAGGUUCAAGUGGAAAGACACUGUGCUGUGUUCAUCGUUUGCAUUGGCUCCCUAUUCGGGUUGGAGCGGGCGAACACAUCACGUAUCCAUGCAGUAUUUUUCAAUUUGACAAGAGGACAUUGAGAGAGAGUGAGUCAUGACCCGUGGAAGUGCGGAACAUACUUAUAUUACCUGUCAGCCUUCUAUUAGAUGUGCCGCUGCCCUCGGCCAACAUAGUGGAAAGCUAUCAAGUGAAAAUUGCCUUUUUUUCAAGUAGCAAAUUGUCAUCACUGAUGCACAUACUCAGACAUUAUUAUACUAUAUGGAGUGUAUACUUUCACCUCUAUGCAUUCUCUACAUCCAGUGUGUUGCUGUAAUUGAACCAGAAAAUGGCAUACAACUCAAACAAAGUUCCCUCAACUUAAAAAUAAAAACACAUCUUCGGGCACCAAAUAAUCAAAUGAAAUGUUCCUUGAGUGAAGGUCUUAGGUGAGGAGUCCAGAUAUUGUCAAUUGGAGAAUAAGAGGAAAAAGUGGUCUGCGUGGGCAGGUUCGUAUUUACUGUUUUCAUGCUUAUGUUUAUGUGUUGACAGUGGAUCCGGGCCCUGUUCCUCGUACGUGGCUAAUUGAGUUAGCCGGCGCAGGUUCAUUUGGGCUGCAGUUCAUCACUCCCCCGGAAAAAAAGGGCAGCUCACUUCCUCAUUGAUGAAGGAGCGACAUCAGUUAGAUUAACGUUUUAUAGGGAGAGACUUCUCCGAGAUCACAAAGACCCGUUUAGCCGCGAUGACGUCCUGUACGAGCGCUAUAGGUGCUGAGGACAAAGAAUAAUUUAUUUACAAGAUGUCCCUGAGCUGAAACGUUACGUUAUGAACAUCCACUGUCCCGCAGACUGUCCCACGGACUGUCUCCCACUGUCUCACACGAGGUCUCUCAUACUGUCCUGUCUGUACGGUGUUGCGACGCAGAGAACAUCUGGAAAGCCGCUGCAUGUCGUGCUCUUCGUAAAGUUCCGUUGAUUUAUUUGUCGCUUAAUAAACUUCUGAAUGUUCCACAUUUCACUGCUUCAAUUGAUCAAAUGUCUGAUUGUGAACAAUGGAUAUAUGAUUCUCCCAUACAUUAUACACAUGAAACUCCUAGUUCUAUAUUGUCAUCUACACACAUAUGAUACAUACGCUGAUACAGUACAUACAGUGCAUACGGAAAGUAUUCACAGUGCUUCACAUCAUGUUACAGCCUUAUUGCAAGAUGGAUUAAAUUCAUUAUUUUCCUCAACAUUCUACACACAACAACCCAUAAUGACAAAGUGAAAACAGUUUUGCAAAUUUGUUAAAAAUAAAGAUGGCGCUGCCUCAACUGCACUGGAGGGAGGUUAUUGUUUAAUCCUGAAAAGGUGUGCAAAAUCGUGCUGGCAUGUGCUGUGCUACAUAAGGUGGCACAGCUUCAAACGUGCCUCGACCCCCUGACGCCGAUGGCGGUGUUGGCCCUGACCCCGAUACCCAGGCAUUUGAGCCAAAUGCUGGUGCUGUGCGUCAGCGUUUGGCAGUGAUGCAUCGCUUGUAAACAGGUGUGGAACCAUUAUAUUAUUUAUUCAAGAAUUCCCUCAUUGUGCAGUUUUAUUUCAGUUAGGACAGUCUUUAUCUCGCCCAACUCCUUUGCCAAAUCUCUGAUCGGGUCAAUGACUUCCCACUGCAUUUCAAGGACUGCAUCGCUGAGGACACAGCCACUGCUGGAGGGUUGAGAGCCGCGUGCCGUGGAGACGCCGGAGCCAGACGGCUGCUCAACUGCAGGAUCGGAACCACUGGCCCUGCUGGAACACCCAGCAAAUGAAGAUCCUCGGUGACCAGUCUCUUCGGUCCUCCCUCAGCAGCGGCGACCUUCCUCUUGACGCCUCUCUUGCCAACGGCUUCCUAUAGAUGAGCAAAAAAAAUCAAGAUUGUCAGUUUGUUGACAGUCACAAGACCAACGUGGACAGAAAACCGCUCAAACCAAACGACAAAAUGGUCUUUUCUGCUCGGCUGAAUGUUCUGUGGCAAGCCCAUGGGUGGGGACUUCCAUGUCAUAGGUUCAAGGACUCAAGCCAGUCACAGGGAACAGUGGAACACAGUUUAUUGGUCAUUGAUUGAGUGUGUAGGACCUACAGGACAUAGCACCUAUGUGACGAGAGUAAGAGGAGGAGAUGUGAGAUGUUAAAACAAAAGGGAGAUGUGUUGCAUAAGAAGGCAGGGACGAUGAAGGUGAUGGAUGCGAAAUUCACUAAGUUUGAGCUGACGAAGGCACUGGUAGGAUGCAGGCGUUCGGCACCGGGAGAGGACAGGGUAUGCUAUGAGAUGGUGAAGAAGGCACCUGAUAAUGUAAUGGAAGCUAUAGUAGGGCUGUUUAACAAGGUGUGGAGGGCUGGGGUGCUGCCGGACGGGUGGAAGCAGGCGGUAGUACUGCCGUUUGCUAAACCGGGUAAAGAUCCAGGGAAGGUGGAUAGCUAUAGACCAAUAGCGUUGACCUCAAACUUAUGUAAACUGAUGGAAAAGAUGAUAGUGAAAAGAUUGAUAUUCUACCUAGAAAGUAAGGGAUUGAUGAGUGAAGCACAGAGUGGGUUCAGGAGAGGAAGGUCUACUAUGGAUGCACUGGUGCAUCCAUAGUAGACCUUCUAUGGAUAGUGGUGGUUAGCACAGAGAUAGCCAAGGCACUUGCUAUGAAGGAGAAGAUGGUGGUGGUAUACUUUGAUAUAAAGAAGGCGUAUGACACUAUGUGGAGAGAGGGGGUGUUAAUGAAGUUAAGUGCAUUGGGAGUUGAGGGCAGAAUGUAUAAUUGGAUUCUUGUUGACAGGUACAUACAGGUGAGGGUUGGGACAAUACUGUCAGAGAGGUAUGAGGUUGCUAAUGGCACCCCACAGGGCAGUGUGAUUAGCCCUGUGUUGUUUACAAUCAUGAUAGACGAUGUGUUUAGGGAUGUAGGUAGAGGUAUGGGUAUGGCACUAUAUGCAGAUGAUGGGGCUUUGUGGAAGAGAGGUAAGAAUGAGAAGUUUGUAAUGAGGAAGAUGCAAGAGGCGGUGGAUGUGGUGGAGGAAUGGUCCAAGAGAUGGGGUUUUAGGAUGUCGGUGACUAAAUCGGCGCAGGGAGGUUAAGUUGUUGAUACGGGAAGCAGGGAUUGCAGAGUGGGAGAGACAGUGGGGUGAAGGUGGUAAAGGGAGGCACUUCCGGGGUAUAAAUAGGUCAGUGAAGGAGGUUGUGGGAAUGAUUGGGUGCAAGAGGGAAGAGGUAGUGUGGAGUAGGUUAAGAUAUGGGCACACAGGGUUGAAUGGCGAUGGUCUGUUACGAGGGUGAAGUGUCGUCCCAGCAGGUAGUAUUUCAGCUUCUCCAGGGCUCACUUGAACGGUGGAGUAUUUUCGUUCUCGUGGCAAAAGCUUCCGGCUAAUGUACAAUACUGGAUGUUCCUCACCUUCUUGUAGCUUUGAUAAGACUGCACCAACCCCAGAUUCGGAUGCAUCCGUCUGUACCACCAGUGGUUUGGAGAAGUCCGGGGUCACUAGUACGGGUCUCGAACACAGCGCUCCCUUCAGGUUCUGGAAGGCUUUCUCCGUCUCCUCGGUCCACGUCACCUGGUUGGGCAGGCGGCUCCUGAUCAAAACUGUCAGAGGGCCGGCUAGGGCGGCUGUGUGUGAGGGAUGAAUCUCCGAUAGUAGCUAGUCAACCCCAAAAACGUGCGUACCUGCUUUUUUUUACGGGGCCGGGGCCAAUCGCGGAUUGCUUCCACUUUCUUUACUUGGGGUUUGACACACCCCCUGCCAAUUGUGUAUCCGGGGUACUCAGCCUCUUGCAGCCCGAGCCGGCAUUUUGUGGGGUUCGCCGUUAGCCCCACUUCCCGUAACACCUGUAAUACCAAACUCACCUGGUGCACAGGUGAGUCAAUGUAGGCCGCCGCAUACUCACGAUGGGGACGGAGAACCCGGUCCAUCAAUCUCUGGAAGGUCGGUGGGGACCCAUGCCACCCAAAAGGCAGUUUCUUAUAUUGGAAAAGCCCGUCCGGGGUGGCAAAUGCGGUUUUCUCCCGUGCCUCAAGAGCUAAGGGCACCUGCCAGUAUCCUUUUGUGAGGUCCAGUGUGGUGAUAAAGCAGGCUGUCCCUAGCCGUUCGAUUAGGGAUGGGAUAGGCGUCAAAUUUGGAUAUUUCACCUUUCUAAAAUCAUUACAAAAGCGAAUGGUGCCAUCUGGUUUUGGUACCAACACUAUCGGACUACACCACUCGCUGUUUAUAUCCACUCUUCUCGCAGCCCGCAAGGCUGUAAUUGGUCUGCUAACUACAUCCUUUCCGGAGUCUCACAUUUCCGGUUUCAUAGCACAAUACCGCCAUUAUUAAAACGAAGAAUUUUUACGAGAGAAUCAGAUUGAAGAGCUUUUGUCGGAAGAAAUGCGUAAAUAUGACCACUUAUACAACCCGUCAUUGGCGGUCUAUAAGGACGCUCUGAUGGCCUCCGAUUCACGGAGGGAGAUCUCGGCAAACGUUGGUUUGCCGGUCGAGGAAAAAAAAGUUGUGGAGGAAUAUACGGGACCAGGGCUGUAGUGGAGGGUAAACGCACGUAAACGCCGUUUACGCACCUCUAGAAUUUGGAAAUAGCGUUUACGCACCUAAUAAAUAGCGUUUACGCACCUAUAAAUAGCGUUUACGCACCUCUAAGUGGCGUUUACGCACCUCAAAGUUCCCUGCGCCUUGUAUUCUUCCGUUGGAAUAAUCCGAAAUAAACUUGGUGUAAUUUUAAAACAGCUAAGACUACGUUUCCUAUUGUUGAACAUAUAAACGCCGUAGUCUGAAUCAUGUUCAUCUGCGCUGAACAUGAUUCAGACUACGUGUUCCCCAGAACACGUGUUCAGAACACGUGUUCUGGGGUUCAUGGCUCCUCUGUGCAAGGCAGGACCUGACGUGGAGGACAAGGAGGCCCUCUGGGCACUACUGUAAAAAGGAGACUCCAUAUGUAGAUAGUUCUUAAUCUGCAAUUGUCUUGUUGUGUUGUGUUGACAUACUUUUCUUUACUGUUUUCUUAAUAAAAUUAAAUAAUAAAAUUAAUUUAAUAAACUACUAACACAUUUAUUCAUUGUCAUUGAUUGUAUAUGACUUUUACUGAUAACAUAAUGCAAUAUAUUUUGAUGUGUAAAGUUUUGGUCUGAGAAAAAAUCACUAACAGCCCUAUGAGCCCUAUAAAACACAUCUACGUGAAGUUUCCCGUUCAUAGAGUACUGAAUGAGUGUCGUAUCACAUGGGUCAACCACUUCUUUUGAUUGUCUGAUCCUAUUGGAUACAACACCUCAAGGAAAAGAGCGACAGCUCCCUCAGCCAUUUAAAAGCCAAAAUGGGUAAAGUGUAAAAUGACAAUCGAGAGUGACGAUUGAAUAGAACCUAGUUCUAAAUUUGUCUUGAUAACUUCCAGUGAAGAGGCAAGUAGAAAAGGGACCCCUUCUUAAAAACACGUAACAUCUAGAAAUAAUAUAGUUAGACCAAGUGGUAGAGAUGGCUCAAUCAGAUUAUGUCAAGGUCGACACAUUUUUUAUUCAAUAUAGUGACUUGUAAUGUGCUCUAACAAAUUGUAGGGCAGUUAAAGGGGUAGGAGUAAUAGUAGUCACAGUGGCAGUAAUAUAAAGUGUAACAGCACCAUGAUUUGAUAUUAUUCCUUUUUUAACUUUUUUCCAGCAGUUAACUACACAUCACUGCUGUGCCUUUCCACUGUGAUGUCAGUUUGAAUCAUUUUGAGUGCUCACACUGCAGCUUACCAGGCUUGAACAAACAAAUCGCUCAUCUGCACUAAAGUGUAGAGUGUGGAACUAGUCUUCUUCUGAUUGACUGAGGGUCAACACCAACCCCCCCUAUUGCCUACCCAUGAUUUCAACUACAUGCUUUCUACUAUACAUUUUCCAGGACCGUGGUUUGUUAUAACUGUGUACAAUGCAAAAACAGCAGAACGGGUAGGACCAGAUACUGAGUACAGGUCUUAGGGGUUGACCCCCCCCCCCCCAACUCCCACC